AGAGUUUGAUCCUGGCUCAGAACGAACGCUGGCGGCGUGCCUAACACAUGCAAGUCGAACGAGAAAGCGGGCUUCGGCCCGUUAGUAGAGUGGCAGACGGGUGAGUAACACGUGGGUAACCUGUCCGGAGGCGGGGGAUAACCCUUCGAAAGGAGGGCUAAUACCGCAUAAUACUCGCCGGGCUUCGGCCUGGCGAAUCAAAGCUUGCCUCUACAUGUAAGCAAGCACCACCGGAGGGGCCCGCGGCCCAUUAGCUUGUUGGCGAGGUAACGGCUCACCAAGGCGACGAUGGGUAGCCGGCCUGAGAGGGCGAUCGGCCACACUGGAACUGAGACACGGUCCAGACUCCUACGGGAGGCAGCAGUGAGGAAUUUUGCGCAAUGGGGGAAACCCUGACGCAGCGACGCCGCGUGGAGGACGAAGGCCUUCGGGUCGUAAACUCCUGUCAAGUGGGACGAAUCCGAGGAGAUGAAUAAGCUUUUCGGUUGACGGUACCAUUGAAGGAAGCCCCGGCUAACUCCGUGCCAGCAGCCGCGGUAAUACGGGGGGGGCUAGCGUUGUUCGGAAUUAUUGGGCGUAAAGGGCGCGUAGGCGGCCUGGUAAGUCGGACGUGAAAUCCCGCGGCUCAACCGCGGAACUGCGUUCGAAACUGCCAGGCUUGAGUCCCGGAGAGGGUAGCGGAAUUCCCAGUGUAGCGGU
rnacentral:rRNA from 1 species